rnacentral:rRNA from 1 species
AUUGAACGCUGGCGGCAGGCCUAACACAUGCAAGUCGAACGGUAACAGGAAGAAGCUUGCUUCUUUGCUGACGAGUGGCGGACGGGUGAGUAAUGUCUGGGAAACUGCCUGAUGGAGGGGGAUAACUACUGGAAACGGUAGCUAAUACCGCAUAACGUCGCAAGACCAAAGAGGGGGACCUUCGGGCCUCUUGCCAUCGGAUGUGCCCAGAUGGGAUUAGCUAGUAGGUGGGGUAACGGCUCACCUAGGCGACGAUCCCUAGCUGGUCUGAGAGGAUGACCGGCCACACUGGAACUGAGACACGGUCAGACUCCUACGGGAGGCAGCAGUGGGGAAUAUUGCACAAUGGGCGCAAGCCUGAUGCAGCCAUGCCGCGUGUAUGAAGAAGGCCUUCGGGUUGUAAAGUACUUUCAGCGGGGAGGAAGGGAGUAAAGUUAAUACCUUGGCUCAUUGACGUUACCCGCAGAAGAAGCACCGGCUAACUCCGUG